rnacentral:rRNA from 1 species
GACGAACGCUGGCGGCGUGCUUAACACAUGCAAGUCGAACGGAAAGGCCCUGCUUUUGUGGGGUGCUCGAGUGGCGAACGGGGGAGUAACACGUGAGUAACCUGCCCUUGACUUUGGGAUAACUUCAGGAAACUGGGGCUAAUACCGGAUAGGAGCUCCUGCUGCAUGGUGGGGGUUGGAAAGUUUCGGCGGUUGGGGAUGGACUCGCGGCUUAUCCGCUUGUUUGUGGAGUAGUGGCUUACCAAGGCUUUGACGGGUAGCCGGCCUGAGAGGGUGACCGGCCACAUUGGGACUGAGAUACGGACCAGACUGCUACGGGAGGCAGCAGUGGGGAAUAUGGCACAAUGGGCGGAAGCCUGAGGCAGCAACGCCGCGUGCGGGAUGACGGCCUUCGGGGUGUAAACCGCUUUCUCCUGUGACGAAGCGUGAGUGACGGUAAUGGGUAAAGAAGCACCGGCUAACUACGUG